rnacentral:rRNA from 1 species
CAGUCGCCACGGUAAUACCAGCACCUCGAGUGGUCAGGAGGUUUAUUGGGCCUAAAGCAUCCGUAGCCGGUUGCAUAAGUUUUCGGUUAAAUCUAUGCGCUUAACGUAUAGGCCGCCGAAAAUACUGUGCAGCUAGGGAGUGGGAGAGGUACACGGUACUCGAUAGGAAGGGGUAAAAUCCUUUGAUCUAUUGAUGACCACCUGUGGCGAAGGCGGUGUACCAGAACACGUUCGACGGUGAGGGAUGAAAGCUGGGGGAGCAAACCGGAUUAGAUACCCCCGUAGUCCCUGUCUCUUAUAC